UCCGAUAUGGUGUAGUGGCCAACAUGAUGCCCUCUCAUCUGUAUGAGAGGUUAGGCAUAGCCCCGAGUUCGAUUCUCGGUUUCGGAA